rnacentral:rRNA from 1 species
UGGGGAAUAUUGGGCAAUGGGCGCAAGCCUGGCCCAGCAACGCCGCGUGAAGGAAGAAGGCUUUCGGGUUGUAAACUUCUUUUAUAUGGGACGAAACAAAUGACGGUACCACAUGAAUAAGCCACGGCUAACUACGUGCCAGCAGCCGCGGUAAUACGGAGGGUCCAAGCGUUAUCCGGAUUUAUUGGGUUUAAAGGGAGCGUAGAUGGGUUGUUAAGUCAGUUGUGAGAGUUUGCGGCUCAACCGUAAAAUUGCAAUUGAUACUGGCAGCCUUGAGUAUAGUUGAGGUAAGCGGAAUUCGUGGUGUAGCGGUGAAAUGCUUAGAUAUCGAGAGGAACACUCGUGGCGAAGGCGGGUUCCUGGACAUUAACUGACGCUGAGGUACGAAGGCUAGGGUAGCGAAAG